rnacentral:lncRNA from 1 species
AUGCGUGCUGUGUCCUGCGAGGCCGUUGCGAUGCAGCGCCACACUCAACAUGGCGGAAGAGUUGCGUCGGGUGGCGACGCGCAGCCGUCAAGCACGAGCGGCUGCAAAAGUAACCUCGCCUUUCUUGCGACAGCGGGCUGAGGGGCGGGGGCAGCCGGCGCCGGAAGCGCCCGCNNNNNNNNNNNNNNNNNNNNNNNNNNNNNNNNNNNNNNNNNNNNNNNNNNNNNNNGGCGCACUGCCAAAGGACGGGGCGUCGGGCGGGGAUCGGCUGCCGCGUGCGGGCCUGGUGCUGGGGAGCGCCGUGCCCGUGCUCGGAGGCCCCGAGGAGGCGGCGGGAAGAUGCCGAUUUGGCACCUACAGAUUCCAGGUUUCCUUGGGGACAACGCUGCUGGUAAUUGCCAGGUGAUGGGAAAAAUUCAGGACCAGAGGAAGCAGACAAGGCAAGGUUUGGAAAUGUUAUUGAAGUGUAAGAAGGGAGUGAUGCCUAAUGUAAUUUCUAGGUACAAACGAAAAGGAGUGUGAAAUCUGUGAAUUGUAAUAGAAAUGGAAGAAGAGAUUUUGAGGUCAAAGAGAAAAGAGAAAUUGCUUUAGAGAGAACAGAAAUUGAAGAUGGGGGUGUGUUGCAGUGGAAGUACUGAGUAAAGCCAUCUGUACUGCUGUAGAGUAUGCCACCUACACCUGCCCGAUCUUCUCCCUAGUAGAAUCUUGUAGAUUGAGUGUUUGGGGAUCAGCAGCGUGAGUGAUAAUUCCAGUAGAAAAGAAUCAGUAGAGUUACAGAAUUACAUAGAGUUCUCAGGACAUAUCUUGUACCUCUAUGAAAGUUUUCUAAAAGCUGAAUCUCCUGACAUCAACAAGCUAAAUCAAAAUGUUAGCCUCACAGUUCAAAUCAUAGAACACAUGUUCCAUUUAACGGUUCUCCAGUGUAAACAUACUGUAUGUUUCAAUGCUUUCAUCAGCAUUGGGAGCUAGUACUUGGCUUCACAUUCUGUUACUGUUAGCAUUGUUCUCCAGUUCCUAACUUCCCCCUGUUCCCUUCUGUCCUCACAGUGACAGCUUUGUGCAAACAUAGUACUUGUUUUGUUUACCCUGAACUGGCACAGCCUUGAAUUUCCUGUUUUUGCAGGAGAGCUCUAAAAGCAAGCGAGGAAACAACAACAUGAAGAGAACUGUUUAUCAUCUUCAUAAUACAGUAUUUUCUUGAGCACGCUUUUCUAAAACAUAAAACAUCCAUGCUGUGACCAAAGGAUUGGCAUAUCAAUGAUGCCUACAGGUUUCAUUUGUAUGUACUGGGGAUAGCAACAUAGCCAGAGAAGCACAGAGCUGAGUGCACUCUGAAAUCUGCUUGGGAUCUUGUCAGGGGUCUGUGGAUUGCACUGCAUGCUGCUGUAGCUGUGCUUUAAGCAUGC